GACGAACGCUGGCGGCGUGCCUAAUACAUGCAAGUCGAACGCAGUGGGGACGGGUGAGAAACACGUGGGUAACCUCCCAUCAGAGGGGAUAACACUUGGAAACAGGUGCUAAACCGAUACUGAUGGAUGGAGCCGGGGUGGAUUAGCUAGUUGGGGGGGUAACGGCCCACCAAGGCCACGAUGCAUAGCCGGUCUGAGAGGGUGACCGGCCACAUUGGGACUGAGACACGGCCCAGACUCCUACGGGAGGCAGCAGUAGGGAAUCUUCGGCAAUGGACGAAAGUCUGACCGAGCAACGCCGCGUGAGUGAAGAAGGUUUUCGGGUCGUAAAGCUCUGUUGUUAGGGAAGCGGGAUCUAGCCAGAAAGCCACGGCUAACUACGGUCCAGCAGCCGCGGUAAUUC
rnacentral:rRNA from 1 species